rnacentral:rRNA from 1 species
GAAGAAGGCUUUCGGGUUGUAAAGCACUUUCAGCGAGGAGGAAGGCCUUAAAGUUAAUACCUUUAAGGAUUGACGUUACUCGCAGAAGAAGCACCGGCUAACUCCGUGCCAGCAGCCGCGGUAAUACGGAGGGUGCAAGCGUUAAUCGGAAUUACUGGGCGUAAAGCGCGCGUAGGUGGUUUGAUAAGCGAGAUGUGAAAGCCCCGGGCUUAACCUGGGAACGGCAUUUCGAACUGUCAGGCUAGAGUGUGGUAGAGGGUAGUGGAAUUUCCUGUGUAGCGGUGAAAUGCGUAGAUAUAGGAAGGAACACCAGUGGCGAAGGCGGCUACCUGGACCAACACUGACACUGAGGUGCGAAAGCGUGGGGAGCAAACAGAUUAGAUACCCUGGUAGUCCACGCCGUAAACGAUGUCAACUAGCCGUUGGGACUCUUGAAGUCUUAGUGGCGCAGCUAACGCACUAAGUUGACCGCCUGGGGAGUACGGCCGCAAGGUUAAAACUCAAAUGAAUUGACGGGGGCCCGCACAAGCGGUGGAGCAUGUGGUUUAAUUCGACGCAACGCGAAGAACCUUACCUGGCCUUGACAUCCAGAGAGCCGUCCAGAGAUGGAUGGGUGCCUUCGGGAACUCUGAGACAGGUGCUGCAUGGCCGUCGUCAGCUCGUGUCGUGAGAUGUUGGGUUAAGUCCCGUAACGAGCGCAACCCCUAUCCCUGGUUGCUAGCAGGUAAAGCUGA